rnacentral:rRNA from 1 species
UACGUAGGUGGCGAGCGUUGUCCGGAUUUACUGGGCGUAAAGGGUGCGUAGGCGGCGCGGAAAGUUGGGUGUGAAAUCCCUCGGCUCAACCGAGGAACUGCGCCCAAAACUACCGUGCUCGAGGGAGAUAGAGGUGAGCGGAACUUAGGGUGGAGCGGUGAAAUGCGUUGAUAUCCUAAGGAACACCCGUGGCGAAAGCGGCUCACUGGGUCUCUUCUGACGCUGAGGCACGAAAGCUAGGGUAGCGAACGGG